AGACCGCGCACUGGAAGGCGUGCGCGCAGGUGUGCGUGACCAUGUGCUUGAAACGGCAGUAGCGCAGCGAGAAGGAUCGCCAUCACACGGCGCACUGGUGCGGCUUCUCCCCCGAGUGGAUGAACAUGUGCUUGGUGUCGUUUUUCCUUGAGCUGAACGUCUUGCAACAGUGGCCGCACGCAUAGCUGCCCCAGAUCCCGGAAGAAAAUCUCUCCCACACCACUGUAGUCAGAGAGGCCAGUGGGUGCAUGGAACUCCUCGCACGCGCUGUCAGCAGCAGCAGUGAGGAAGCCGGCAGCACAGUCUGGGAAGGAAGGAGGUGCUUGGCUCUCUCCCGGGCCGCCACCUUCGCCGUCCUCGCCAUCGGUCUCAUCGUCAGUUUCCUCGUCAUCGUUGUCACCUCGGUCGUCAGGGGCCGCGGACAGUGAGGGGUAGGCACCAAGCCCCUCGGCUUUGGCAGGUGUCGGGGGCGCAGGCAGCUGCAAACUCGCGGGCCGGCGCUGCUUACCGCUGUGCGCGGCAC
rnacentral:lncRNA from 1 species